AACGCACAUUGCGCCCGCCAGUAUUCUGGCGGGCAUGCCUGUUCGAGCGUCAUUACAACCCUUAAGCCCCAGCUGCUUAGCGUUGGGGGCUCGCCGUCACUGGCGACCCCUUGAAUAUAUCGGCGGAGUCGAGUCGAACUCUAAGCGUAGUAAACUUACAUCUCGCUUCUGAGGGCCCCUCGUCGACAGCCACUAAACCGAUUAACUUCACAAGGUUUGACCUCGGAUCAGGUAGGAAUACCCGCUGAACUUAA
rnacentral:misc_RNA from 1 species